UUUCAUCCACAUAGCUUGUGCAAGAAAGUUGAGAGGGUUACGGCAAAAACUGGAUGCACUUCGUGUACAAAACGGACAAUCUCUUUCAAAGUAUCAGGAUUUCAUCCGGAAACUCGUCUGUUACAAAGGGAUUUCAUUUUUUAAAACUUAUUUGAUCUCCUGACUUUUUGUGUGUUCAAAAUGCACCAUUCAAAGCCACAUCAUCAUUUUUCAAUCCUUUCUGACUUCAUUUGUUAUUUUUCAUGCAUUUACUAAUUAUUUUGCGCUAUAAGACCCUAAAAUUGAAAAGCAUUUCAAAUGAACUCUGAAAAGGUUGAAAGUUGGCAUGAUAUCAUCAUUCCAUCCACAUAGCAUGUGCAAGAAAGUUGAGAGGGUUACGGCAAAAAGUGGAGGCACUUCGUGUACAAAACGGACAAUCUCUUUCAAAGUAUCAGGAUUUCAUCCGGAAACUCGUGUGUUACAAAGGGAUUUCAUUUUUAAACCUUAUUUGAACUCCUGACUUUUUGUGUGUUCAAAAUGCACCAUUCAAAGCCACAUCAUCAUUUUUCAAUCCUUUCUGACUUCAUUUGUUAUUUUUCAUGCAUUUACUAAUUAUUUUGAGCUAUAAGAUCCUAAAAUUGAAAAGCAUUUCAAAUGAACUCUGAAAAGGUUGAAAGUUGGCAUUAUAUCAUCAUUUCAUCGACUUAGCAUGUGCAAGAAAGUUGAGAGGGUUACGGCAAAAACUGGAUGCACUUCGUGUACAAAACGGACAAUCUCUUUCAAAGUAUCAGGAUUUGAUCCGGAAACUCGUCUAUUACAAAGGGAUUUCAUUUUUUAAACCUUAUUUGAACACCUGACUUUUUGUGUGUUCAAAAUGCACCAUUCAAAGCCACAUCAUCAUUUUUCAAUCCUUUCUGACUUCAUUUGUUAUUUUUCAUGCAUUUACUAAUUAUUUUGAGCUAUAAGACCCUAAAAUUGAAAAGCAUUUCAAAUGAACUCUGAAAAGGUUGAAAGUUGGCAUGAUAUCAUCAUUUCAUCCACAUAGCAUGUGCAAGAAAGUUGAGAGGGUUACGGCAAAAAGUGGAUGCACUUCGUGUACAAAACGG
rnacentral:lncRNA from 1 species